rnacentral:rRNA from 1 species
GACGAACGCUGGCGGCGUGCUUAACACAUGCAAGUGGAGCGACGAACCAGGCUUCGGCCUGGGGGCAGAGCCGCGAACGGGUGAGUAACACGUGGGUAACCUGCCCUGAUGAUCGGGACAACCCGGGGAAACCCGGGCUAAUACCGAAUGUGCCCGCAAGCCACAAGGCUUGCGAGGAAAGGAAGCUUCGGCCUCCGCAUCGGGAUGGGCCCGCGGCCCAUUAGCUUGUUGGUGGGGUAACGGCCUACCAAGGCAGCAAUGGGUAGCUGGUCUGAGAGGACGAUCAGCCACACUGGGACUGAGACACGGCCCAGACUCCUACGGGAGGCAGCAGUGGGGAAUCUUGCGCAAUGGGCGAAAGCCUGACGCAGCGACGCCGCGUGAGGGAUGACGGCC